rnacentral:rRNA from 1 species
GAUGAACGCUGGCGGCGUGCCUAAUACAUGCAAGUCGAGCGAACAGACGAGGAGCUUGCUCCUCUGACGUUAGCGGCGGACGGGUGAGUAACACGUGGAUAACCUACCUAUAAGACUGGGAUAACUUCGGGAAACCGGAGCUAAUACCGGAUAAUAUAUUGAACCGCAUGGUUCAUUAGUGAAAGACGGUUUUGCUGUCACUUAUAGAUGGAUCCGCGCCGCAUUAGCUAGUUGGUAAGGUAACGGCUUACCAAGGCAACGAUGCGUAGCCGACCUGAGAGGGUGAUCGGCGACACUGGAACUGAGACACGGUCCAGACUCCUACGGGAGGCAGCAGUAGGGAAUCUUCCGCAAUAGGCGAAAGCCUGACGGAGCAACGCCGCGUGAGUGAUGAAGGUCUUCGGAUCGUAAAACUCUGUUAUUAGGGAAGAACAAAUGUGUAAGUAACUAUGCACGUCUUGACGGUACCUAAUCAGAAAGCCACGGCUAACUACGUG